rnacentral:rRNA from 1 species
AGUGAACGCUGGCGGUAGGCCUAACACAUGCAAGUCGAACAGCAGCACAGUAAGAGCUUGCUCUUACGGGUGGCGAGUGGCGGACGGGUGAGGAAUACAUCGGAAUCUACUUUUUCCUGGGGGAUAACGUAGGGAAACUUACGCUAAUACCGCAUACGACCUACGGGUGAAAGCAGGGGAUCUUCGGACCUUGCGCGAUUGAAUGAGCCGAUGUCGGAUUAGCUAGUUGGCGGGGUAAAGGCCCACCAAGGCGACGAUCCGUAGCUGGUCUGAGAGGAUGAUCAGCCACACUGGAACUGAGACACGGUCCAGACUCCUACGGGAGGCAGCAGUGGGGAAUAUUGGACAAUGGGCGCAAGCCUGAUCCAGCCAUACCGCGUGGGUGAAGAAGGCCUUCGGGUUGUAAAGCCCUUUUGUUGGGAAAGAAAAGCAGCAGGUUAAUACCCCGCUGUUCUGACGGUACCCAAAGAAUAAGCACCGGCUAACUUCGUG